rnacentral:rRNA from 1 species
UGUGACUGAGUGGCGACGGGUGAGUAACGCGUGGGAAACCUGCCUUGUACCGGGGGAUAGCAGUUGGAAACGACUGAUAAUACCGCAUAAGCGCACAGUAUCACAUGAUACAGUGUGAAAAACUCCGGUGGUACAAGAUGGUCCCGCGUCUGAUUAGCUUGUUGGCGGGGUAAGGGCCCACCAAGGCGACGAUCAGUAGCCGACCUGAGAGGGUGACCGGCCACAUUGGGACUGAGACACGGCCCAAACUCCUACGGGAGGCAGCAGUGGGGAAUAUUGCACAAUGGAGGAAACUCUGAUGCAGCGACGCCGCGUGAGCGAUGAAGUAUUUCGGUAUGUAAAGCUCUAUCAGCAGGGAAGAUAAUGACGGUACCUGAGUAAGAAGCUCCGGCUAACUACGUGCC